CGCCACCGCCGCUGCCUCCGCCUCGGUCAGGCUCCUCCUCCGCGUACGCCGCUGCCAGAUCUGCCUCCGCCUCCGCCGACUCAAAGAAUCUAAGUUCCUUAUUCAUACAUUAUGGAGAGGAUAAGAGUAUCAUUUCUAGAAUUCUCACACAGGAAUCAAGGGUGUUGCUGGGAAGAUGGAGUAAAUUGUGAUGAUAUCUAUUUUGGCAGACUCGGUGAUGCAACUCUGGUUCAUAAGAGUUGGAAGAUUUUGGUUUCACUUCUCUGUCUUUGUUGGUUUUCUUGAUAAUUGUUUGGUAGUUUGUAUUUUUUUAUAUAUUUUAAAUUAAGGAUCUUAUGGAUUUUGUUAUGGAAUGAUGUUGAAAUGAAAGUGGGUUAAGAAAAACUUUCGUAU